GGCUUCACCGAGUUUGUAAGCUUCUCGCGCCGUCCCCCUCGUCUCUUAUCUUAUCUCGCUAUCCUUAGGCGCUUAUUUCGUUGUUUUUGUAGCCUUUUUUUUAUCGAAGAGCCACUGCCCCGAGGUAGUCCGCGGGGCAUACCCACGCCAUUGGUUCAAUUCCAGGCCCAAGACAGUCGUCCCUACGUGGUUCGGUUCUUCGCAGCCCUCCCUAGUUUCGCAUCGUCCGCGGGCGGAGUCCGAGUGUCGUCGGAGCCCCUGGUCUCACCCAUGCCUCCCCCACGGGCGAUCUAGGAGUUUCCUGCAACGGACGAGGUCGGCUAUGGGCUUCCUUGGCUGAUGCUCUUACCCAAAGGGGAUGUAUAUUUGGCGAAUCACUCCCUAGGAGCACCGGCCUCCCACGUCGAUUGUCAUCUGCGUGGGGUUGCGGUUCCUUCAUUGUCGAGCAAGCUCGCAUCCUGAGGAUGGGGAUGGUUUUUUCAGGGCAUCCGGGGUGCGUGGCCGUCUUGCGGCGAUUGUGAGAGCGUUUUAUUAUCCUUGAGUCUGGACAUGAGUUGUUCGGCAGUGGCCCAGCCUUUUGAGGAGGUGUGAAGCUCGUAACGCUGGGGAGCCAUGACAGCGGGGUCCGAGCUUAGUAGGACAGCAGGGACCGAGCAUCAUGCGACCAAGUCAAGGGAGGUCUCUCUAAGGUCCUAGGCGUACCUUUCCAAAGUGCGACCACUAGGUUUUGAUGUGGAGGGACCUUCGUCUGGGUUUCCAACAUAAGGAGGUUUCGCGUGAGGAGGAGCGCCUUCGGGCUCUUAACGCUGAGUGCUCCAGUUUGUCUCCGGCCAUCAACCUCAUAUGUUGUCAUCUCAGGGUUUCAAAGUCGGGGGAGAUGUCCGCACGAUCUCCUCGGAUGGCGCUAAUCUCUGGCUGCGUUCGUGAACUGGAUGCCAUCGCGCUACAGCUCGGGGUCCUGAUUGCUCCGGUCGCUACUCGGACUCUCGGCGAGGACUUGUUCAAGAAGGAUUGAGCUCGCCCGAACGCACCGGUGUUUGGUGGUUUGGCGAGCCCCGAGACCUGAGAGCGUUGGUGGGACCCGUCGUGCGGCGCUCGUCCUACAAUUGCCCAUUUUUUCGUGUUUCCUCAAGAGAAAAGGCAAAUGAUUUAAAUUCUUUCAGGAAAUUUGUACUAGCAGAAAUCUGUUUAAUAAACGUCGUCAGGGUUUUUCA